GAUGAACGCUGGCGGUGUGCCUAAUACAUGCAAGUCGUACGCAUUCUCGUUUCUGAUUGACGGUGCUUGCACCUAAUUGACGAGACAUUGGAGUGAGUGGCGGACGGGUGAGUAACACGUGGGUAACCUGCCCGGAAGCGGGGGAUAACAUUUGGAAACAGAUGCUAAUACCGCAUAAAAGUCAAAACCACAUGGUUUCUGUGUCAAAGAUGGUUUCGGCUAUCACUUUGGGAUGGACCCGCGGCGUAUUAGCUAGUUGGUAAGGUAAUGGCUUACCAAGGCAAUGAUACGUAGCCGAACUGAGAGGUUGAUCGGCCACAUUGGGACUGAGACACGGCCCAAACUCCUACGGGAGGCAGCAAUAGGGAAUCUUCCACAAUGGACGAAAGUCUGAUGGAGCAACGCCGCGUGAGUGAAGAAGGUUUUCGGAUCGUAAAACUCUGUUGUCAGAGAAGAACGUGUGCGAGAGUAACUGCUCGUGCAGUGACGGUAUCUGGCCAGAAAGCCACGGCUAACUACGUGCCAGCCGCCGCAGUAA
rnacentral:rRNA from 1 species